AUGUAAAAGACCAAAAAAAAAAAAAAAACAAUACUUAAGAAAAUGAGACAUCAUGGUAGCCAUUGAUGACUUCCUAUCAUAUUUUUUGAAGUCCGAUAAUGGUUUUAUUCGUGGUUUUGAUUGGUUUUAGACCAUUUUCAAUUAUUUGAUUUUAAUAUAUAUGAAGAUAUGGACAGCUAUUUUAAAGAAAACAAGAGACAUUAUGGUAGGCAUUAUUAAUUUCCUACUGUCUAGUUUUGAAGACCAGUAAGGCUCUCAUUCUUUUGUUUUGAUUGUUUGUGUACUAUUUGGUUUUGCAUUAACUAACUGUAUGUGAAGGUAUGGAGAACUAUUUCAAAGAAAACAAGAGACAUUAUAGUAACCACUGUUGAUUUCCUGUUGUCUUGUUCUGAAAUCCUAUGUUAUUUGCAUUUUUUUGCUCUGCUCUGCUUUGUUCUCUUUUGCUUUGCUUUGUUUCAUUCUCUUUAAAAUAAAAAUAAAUAAAUAUAUCCUGCUCUUAACCUCUGUUGUUCCCUAGAAUUCAUUCUUUGAUUUUGGGAAACAAAAACUCAGAGCAUCAGACAUCUAGCAGGUUGGAAAUUAUAAUAUUUCCCUUGUAUUUUUUGGAUUACUUGGAGGGCCCACCAAGAUAAUUGGAUGUAGGUAACAGUUUGCUUUUGUUUCAUAGACCCUUCCUAUCUUAUAUCCACCUUGUGAUUUUGCUCUAUAAAGCUUCCCCUGAGAAAUGGGAUCUACAACAACCCACUUUCUUGGUUCCCUUCUGUCUCUCUUUGAUAGAAGCUAUCUUUCCCUCAACAAAUAUAUCCUACUCUUAAAAAAUUGCAUCUGUUCUAAAAAAACACACUAUUUUCACCAUGAUUCCCUAAACAGUAUAAUAUAGCACCUAUUUACAUAGAAUUUACAUUGGAUUAAGUAUUACAGGUAAUCUAGAGAUUAUUUAAAUGAUACAGGAGGAUUUUAUAGGUUAUGUGCAAAGCCUACACUAUUUUAUAUAAGGGACUUGACAAGUAAUCACCAUACUUAUGAUGCAGAAGAGUUUUACCAUCCCCAUGCUCACUCUGUGCUCCUGGGAAGUCAACUGUUUCCUGGACUCUCAGCUCCUAACUACUCAUCUGCUUUUGUUCAUAAUAACUUUACCUUCCUAGGAUUUCACAUCAGCGAAAUUUUCUUCCUCCUCCUCCUCCUCCUCCUCUUUCUUGUCUUUUCUCUCCUCCUCUUUUUCUUUCUUCUUCUCCUUUCUUCUCCUCCUCCUCUUCCUUCUCCUUUCCCUUCUCUUUAUUCUCCUCAUUCUUUUGUACUCCUGGAGAUUGAAUCAAGGCUCUUACUCAUGCUAGGCCAGUAUUCUACCACUGAGCUAUAUUCCCCAGCCUUUUUAAAGAAGGCUUUGCCAAAUAUAAGGUCACAAAGUUUUUUUUCCUAAAGAUUGUAGAAUUUUAGCUUUUACAUAUGUGUUUUACAUAUGUUUUUGAUUGUGGUCUGCUGUGAAGUUUGAGCUCAUUGUAUUGCACAUGAAUGCCUAUUGCAAAAGAUUAUGCUUUCCUGGCACUUUCACUGAAAGUCAGUUGACUAUAUAUGUGUGAGUGUAUUUUUGGACUCUGCUUUUCUAAUAGUCUGUGUCUAGAUUCUGGAGCUUUCUACUUUCUUGGAACCAGGUAUCUUAAGUUUUCCAACUAGCUUUUUGUUUUGGGUUUGGUUUUUGAUACAGGAUCUGGUUAUAUAGUUCAGGUUGGCCUUGAAAUCACUACGUAGCUUACGCUAGCCUUCAGCUCAUGAUCCUCCUUUACUAGCUGUUUCCAUUGUGCUUCUAAGUCUGGUGGUUGGUCUUUUUCACGGGAAGUGAAUACAAAUCUUGCUCAAGGCAUUGCAUGGUGACCUCAGUGCAUAGUAUUCUGAUGUGCAAAACCAGGCUCUAGCCCAGUCUCUAUUAUCCCCAAAACCAGCGAGCUCCUGCUAUCAGUGGCGUCUUGCUUCUGAGCUCCUAGCCUAGUGGACAGGGUUCUGCAUUGGAGAGCACAAGAAAUGUGCCCCUCUGCCUCAGUCCCUCUAGCCAGAGGUUGCUUAAGGUUAUUAGACACUUUCAAAUCUAGGUAUAGGGCCAUCUAGCAAAUUCAUACUGUCUGAACAGAUGUCUAACCAAAGACUAAGAGGCCAUCUCUCUUUUAUAGGCAUCUAAAGAGCAUCAUGAAGAUGUGCACACAGUGUUGCACACUGCAAUCCCAGAACUCAGGAUGAGGUAGGUGGAAUGCAAGUCUGAGCCCAGGCUGGGCAAUUUAGCAACUUAGACUGUCUCAAAUGAAAAACGGGGAUGUAGUUCAGUGCCAAGCACCUAGGUUUAGUCCCCAGUAUUGAAAAAAGAUACUGGUAAUUCCCUCAGAACUACUCUGUUGGCAUCAGUAACAACAAGGCACCCUCCCCAGUUCAUACCCACAGGCUGCUGAAACUCUUGUAGUAUUUCUCCUUGCUUCACCUGUCCCCAGUUGUCCAGUUACGUAGGUCCAGGGUAGGGUGGUAGCCACGGGGUGGAAGUAUUGGCUCUGCAGCCCUACAAGGAGCUCUGGCUGCGUCUAUAUUAGGGAUUCUUAUUACCAUGGGAGAGGAUAAACGCCUGUGGGUCCUCAUCCUUUGUGACCUGACUCAUAAAUUCCAGGGUAACAGGAAAAGGCCCAUUAGGCACUCCAUUACAAACAGUUCUAAUAAAAACAGUAAUAAUAACACCAAAACCACUCAUAUAGUGUUUGUUACAGCACGUCUUCCUCUCUACUGUUAUCAACACAUGCACUCUUUUUAACAGCACAGAUUGUAAAGUGGGAUCAUUAAGCUUUUCCAGCUGAGGAAACUGAACACAAAAGAGUCCCAUGACUUCCAGGGCUCAUCUGUGUGUUUCUGGACAAGAUAGAGACAAGAUUGAGAUAGACAGCAAGAUGCCCAUAUGAGUUCAACCAUCUGGAUCCUUCAUCGUGGGUCUCCUAGGACCACCAGGGCUGAAACUCUCCCUCUUACUUCAGGCCCUCUCUUCUGGAUACUGAUGCCCAAAACAUAACAGAUUUGGUGGAAUGAGGCAACUGGAAAUGGUUGUGUAAUCUGGCUUAAUAAGCAGUUUCCUUUAGAUGACAUUGUGUCUCUGCCGGUUGGACUUUUGCCUGAAAUGACGCUAAUAUACCAUGAGCCCACCAGAGCAGUGGCUGCCAAAAAUAACAGCUGUGAAAUGAUUUGUGACGCUGUUCAGCAGAAACAUAUUUGUCCUUUUGCAUUUUAUGAUCGGUAAGUGCUAGGAGUUAUUAUUUAUAAAUGUGCUUUACUCUCUUUACUGUAUUUCUUCAUUUUGAGAUGGACACAGGAAAAAUACCAUCGUGUUUUCCUUCAGGUAGGAGUCAUGCAUUCAGGUCCUCUGACCACACAGACGCACUUUGUGCGUCAACCCUUGCACAAAAUGAGCUUUCCUGUUUUUGUCAUCGUGGUUUGUGCUACAGGGGCACUUUGUGUAGGAGAGAAAAAUACCCUUAAGGAAGCUUCCAAGGAGGUUACUAGGUGCAUGGUUCAGCCAAGUGAGGGACUCCAGGGGAUGCACAUCUUUGUGUUCACUCAGGGCGGGAAGGGUGUAACACACAUUGGAAGAAACCCGGCUCGUGGCCAAAUAACUUUACCACCUGAGGUAUGAGGCAGUUCCGCCACAUUGCCAUUCCAUUGGGCUUCGGCAUCACUUCUUGAGAAACGGAGUCUGGGAAAGUACAUAGCUCCACAUGACACCAUGCUACACAGAGAAUGAUUUCUAAUUACGUGUGUCACGGGGACCCCGUGGCUUCAGACACACACGCAGAAUUCCUCCUGUAAAUGCAUUUGUGUGGUAAAAGCGUACCUACUGAUAUACUGAAUAUUUUAUGAAUAAAACAAUAAAAAGGAAAAGGAAAAAGAGGGCAGAAGGAUGGACAGGUAAAACAGAAGAAUGUUGUUAGUUAUGGAAACCAGGCAACAGCAGUUCACGUCUCUUCUCUCUACUUUUGUAUGUGGGAAAACAUUUCCCAGAUUAAUAGUUUUUAUGAAUAUGUAUAAUAUUUGCCUUAGUCCAUUUGUACUGCUAUAAAAAAGAUCUGUGACUAGAUGAUUAUGCUAGGCUGCUUUGUCACUAUAACAGAUACUUAGGAUAACUUCUAUGGAGGAAAGGGUUAACUGAAGAUGGUGGCACAUGCCUAUAAUCCUGAAACUCUAGAAGGCUGAUGUAGGAGGACUGCAAGUUCAAGCCCAGCCUGAGCAAUUUAGUGACUAGUGAGACCUUGUCUCACAAAUAAAAAAUAAAAAUAAGAAAAAGCAAGAGUAAAGUUCCUUUACUCUUGGAUUGAAUCCUUUGGUUCAAUCAGCAGCAGGGCUGGUGGGAUGGGUGGGGUGUUGAAUUUGGCUCAUCAUUUUAGAGAUUUCAGUCCAUAAUCAGUUGGCCUACCAUAGUAUAUCUUGCUGUCUUCACAACAGUUGUCUAUUCCAUUAGGUAGAGCAAAAUCAAACAAAAAACAAAACAGAAUAAAGCCAAUUAAAACAGAAUAUUGAAUAAAGCAAAACAAUUAAUCAGAACAAAGCAAAACUGUGAGAACAAUAUUGGAUUUCAAUGACAUUUCAAUGACAAGGUAGAAGGAAAUCCUCCACAUUUGCUAUAUUGCAUACUGUCAUCCUGUCCCCAGUCCUGUGGGGGAACCGCUGUCCCCAGUCCUGUGAAAUCAAACGAACAACACAAGCGUGUAGUUGCUUUAUGUACCUUAGUUGCUAUCAACUCAGCCUGUCCUCCAACCAGCAGAUUGCUUAGUGGGAGGGACUUGAUUCUUAGCCUGUGCGCUGGUAGACUCACGGGAGGUGUUAUCUGACUUUUCCUGGAACCCUCGUGGCUUACCAGAAAGGCUUCUUCUUGGGUCCUCCCAGUUCCAGAAUGGCUGAUUCUUGGCAAAACUGAUUCUUAAAUGUAAGAAUGAUUCCAAUUUGUGAAACCAGUGUGAGGAAUUCCCUUGCUUCCAAGUCACUCUCAGGACCUUGUGUCACCUGUGACCAGGCUCUGCUUGUUUUCCUUCAAAACAUCUUAACAGCUCUGCUGUUGUCUCCUUAAGAUGGCAAUACACAGUCAAAAGCAACAUUCCCAUGUUGUAUAGUGACUUCCCCAGGGUCUCUUGUUCAGUUUGGGCCACCACUGGUUUCUGAUUUUGUUACAGCUUUGGAUGAUAUGAUGGUCACUGUGGCCAGAAAGGGGCUUGACCUAAGAUGUCACAGGAAGCAUCUCAGACCACCUCCAUGUGAAUAUUGGAAGUCUUGCCUCUGCUGUCCCCUAGGAGACCACUAAAGGAAAAGAGGCUUUUCCAUGUCAUGCAAACACGGUUUCCACAUCAGUUCCGGAAUGCAGGGGAAUUUCCCAGCCUCCGUGCUUUGAGGCUUGAGGAAGUCAUUCACAUUAUGAAGCUGUGAAGCCUGAUGGUUCUGGCAGGUAUGAGUGGUUGCUAGAAGCUUCCUAGUUGGGAGUGUGGUUCUCCUGUGGGAUGAACAGGAAGGGAAAUGAUUUUCUUGGCCAUGUCUUCUGCCCCAAUCACUUCUCUCUGAGUUUGGCAGGCACCUUACAACCAAACAACUUGCUGUGGCUUUUUAAGAUUUCAGAUUUUACCUAGGAGCUUCUGCCUCUCACUAUGAGAGGAUUCCAGCUCCUGAAAAGUUACCUCAAAGAUAAGAGGAUUUUCUUUGAAAACAACAUAAGUGGCUUUUCUUUUUCCCAAUGAAACCUCGACCUUUUCCAAACCAGAG